rnacentral:pre_miRNA from 1 species
UCUUAUGAAUGAGCAAAGAAAGUGGUUUUUUGAGAAAGAAUCCACUCCUGGCAAAAAUGUUGUGAA